AAUAUUGCACAAUGGGCGCAAGCCUGAUGCAGCAACGCCGCGUGAGGGACGACGGCCUUCGGGUUGUAAACCACUUUUCGUAGGGAAGAAGCGAAAGUGACGGUACCUGCAGAAAAAGCACCGGCGAACUACGUGCCAGCAGCAGCGGCAAUACGUAGGGUGCUAGCGUUGUCAGGAAUUAUUGGGCGUAAAGAGCUCGUAGGCGGUUUGUCGCGUCUGCUGUGAAACCACGAGGCUCAACCUCGGGCCUGCAGUGGGUACGGGCAGACUAGAGUGCGGUAGGGGAGAUUGGAAUUCCUGGUGUAGCGGUGGAAUGCGCAGAUAUCAGGAGGAACACCAAUGGCGAAGGCAGAUCUCUGGGCCGUAACUGACGCUGAGGAGCGAAAGCAUGGGUAGCGAACA
rnacentral:rRNA from 1 species